UUAGUCUUAGAUGUGCAAGAAUCUGAUUAUUCGGUCCUAUCCAGGAAACACUGGAAUGACUGUGAGCCAGCUGUUUUCAGAUGUCCAUCUGAUAUGUGAUCAGACAAUGUAAGGUAAUGGCUACAAGACAUUCCCAUGAAUCUCAGGAUCUCAGAGUAACUUUGACUGCACCACAAGUUGUGUCUCUUCAGCAUUGGCCAAUACCAAGGAUAGUCCCGUCCUCUUAGAUUCCCUCAAGGAUACCGAGCUCUACAGAAAACAAGCCAACAAAGCCCUUGUGAAGUACAAAGGAGAGAAUGAUGACUUUCCCUCUUUCGGAGUGGACCAAGUCCAGAGAACUGCAAGAGUAGAGGAGAGAAAUGAGCCAAUUACUAUGUGGACUUCUCUGUGAGGAACUGCUCCAGGCACCAUUUUCCCAGACACCCCAAUUUAUGGAGUCUGCAGAGUAUAUUUGUCCUACGAUGCAGGAGCCUUGGACUUGAAAAGCCCAAAAGAUCUUGUCGUAAUCUGCAAAGUCUUCAACCCUCAGGAAUAUAGAAUCAUCAAUGGUGUAAACCCCAUUUGGGCUAUCCUUUUUUCACAUUUGGGCUAACCUUUUCACUCUGGUGGACAUGAGCAUUCUCCUACUGCUAAGCUUCCAUUUAAACCCCACGGGUCCCGAGAUCACCAUUAUCCCCACAAGCCACAAGAACUUGGAUUCCCACCUCGCCCAGAUGAAAAAGAUCACUCGGACAGACCUCCACUUCAACAAAAGAGCUCCUUCACAAUUGCCCCCUUCUUGGUCAACAGGUCAUCACACCCCUUCUGGCACAAACAGGACCCAAAAUCACCCUCAUGACUCUAAU
rnacentral:lncRNA from 1 species